rnacentral:lncRNA from 1 species
CACAAGUAAAAGUGAGUGGGCCCAUAACUUAUUGAAGAACAAGCACUUUGAAGAUACAACACUUAGCAUCAACAAGGUUGCACACAAAGAGAGUAUGGAAUAAGAUGUCACUCUCUUCAAAUAUCCAUUACUUAUAGGUAGUAGUUGCUGCCCUAAAAGACAACUUCCACUCUUUGACUUUUACACACAUGGUUCUAGGAUCCUUUUGGCAUCUCACGAGCC